CCAGCCACCGCUGGGAGGCGGCCCAGAAAUGGUCCCAUUUUACAGAGCCGGCAUCCGGACGGAGCUCAGAAAGGUGCCCACGGUCACGUCUGGGAACAGUCCGAGAACAAGAAGAGCUACAGCUCUGCAGGGACACGAGAGAAGAACAUUUGUUGACCAUUGGCAACCCCCCAUUUCUUUGCCUGUCGUCUAGGAACUGCCAGCCUGUUUUCCAAGGUGGCUGCACCAUUCUGCAUUCCUGUCGGCCAUGUAUGGAGGUUCCAAUUUCUCCACAUUCCUGCAACACUUGUUAUUGUCUUUUUUAUUUUAGCCAACCUGAUGUGUGUGAAGUGGUACCUCAUUGUGGUUUUGACUUGUAUUUCCCUAAUGACUCAUCAUACAAGUAUCUUUUCCUGUGCUUAUUGGCUAUUUGUAUAUCCUCCUUGAAGAAAAGUCUAUUAAAAUCCUUUGCUCAUCUUUAAAUUGGGUUAUUUAUAUUUUUAUUGUUAAUUUAUAA